GAAUGGCUCUCUACUGUUGGUCUAGGAGGAGCUCGGAUGUCUCCAAAGCUGCUGACGAGUCUACUGUUAUCGGGUACCUUAGGCACUGAUACUACAGGUGGGAGUCACCUACUGUAGAAGCUCGGAUAGAGACUUUUCGUUGGCGAAGCCCGGUAGGAAUCCGAUUGCUAGAGAAGUCCGUCUGGGAUUCGCUUGAUGUGGAAACUCGUCUGAAGAUGAUCCAUUGGGAAAGUUCGGUUUUAUGAA
rnacentral:lncRNA from 1 species